rnacentral:rRNA from 1 species
UAGGGAAUCUUCCACAAUGGACGAAAGUCUGAUGGAGCAACGCCGCGUGAGUGAAGAAGGUUUUCGGAUCGUAAAGCUCUGUUGUUGGUGAAGAAGGAUAGAGGCAGUAACUGGUCUUUAUUUGACGGUAAUCAACCAGAAAGUCACAGCUAACUACGUGCCAG